AGCCCCUCUGCCUGCACCUCCCUCAUUCUGAACGGACGCUUCCUUCCUUGGUGUAAUCCUCCCAGCCAGGUGGAGGGCUGAACGGUGCCUGAGAAUUCUAAGGAAACUAAUAUUUAUAAAGUGCCUGUUCUCGUUUAUACAUGUAUUAUUCAAUCAGCAGAACAACUAUAGACAGGAGAAAUCAUACCCACUUACAGAUGAAGAAACUAACUCAGAGGACUUUGGUAACUUGUCUGAUCUCAAGAACUAAUAAAUGGUAAAUCCAGAAUUCAAAUAAAAAUCUAUCUAAUUCCAAAA